UACGAAGGGGGCAAGCGUUGUUCGGAAUUACUGGGCGUAAAGGGCGCGUAGGCGGCUUACCAAGUCAGGCGUGAAAUUCCCGGGCUCAACCUGGGGGCUGCGCUUGAUACUGGUGAGCUUGAAUGCGGGAGAGGAUAGUGGAAUUCCCAGUGUAGAGGUGAAAUUCCUAGAUAUUGGGAAGAACACCGGUGGCGAAGGCGGCUAUCUGGCCCGUAAUUGACGCUGAGGCGCGAAAGCGUGGGGAGCAAACAGG
rnacentral:rRNA from 1 species